rnacentral:rRNA from 1 species
UACAGAGGGUGCAAGCGUUAAUCGGAAUUACUGGGCGUAAAGCGUGCGCAGGCGGUUUUGUAAGUCUGAUGUGAAAUCCCCGGGCUCAACCUGGGAAUUGCAUUGGAGACUGCAAGGCUAGAAUCUGGCAGAGGGGGGUAGAAUUCCACGUGUGAGCAGUGAAAUGCGUAGAUAUGUGGAGGAACACCGAUGGCGAAGGCAGCCCCCUGGGUCAAGAUUGACGCUCAUGCACGAAAGCGUGGGGAGCAAACGAGG